UUCCCAUGUGGUUUGGGUUGGUUUUUCUCCCAAAAUUCUUUAUUCAUUCUAGGCAAAAAGAAGAAAGAAAAUAGAAAAACUACACAUUAAUCCCAUACAGCUAAAACUUAACCUGUCUCAGGGGAUGCAAGAUAUGAAUAUUCACAGUGCUCUCAGAAUUUGCAAGCAAGAAAGCUAUUGAAAAGUCAAGGAAUAAAGAGAAGGAUCACCCUGAACAGAAUGGCACUUGUUCCUUCUGCCACUUCAAGUUACUGACUUCCUUGCAGUCUCCAUGCAUUCAUUUGCAUAACAGAGGUGAUCAUCUGGCCUUUACUACAGCAAAUUGAAUAUAAACCAGUUACUGAAAUAUAAAACACAUCCUAGGGAAUUCUCUGAACACUGGCAUACAAAUGAAGACCUUAGUGCUGCCUAGGAAUAAUGGAGGUGACAGAAGAGAAAUAUUGGUGUUGCUGAUUGACUCUUAUUGUUACAAGAUGUAUGAGAGGCUACAGCAGCAUUUCACAGUCUUGGUGAAAGAAAUGCUUGUUUUAGUUUAUCUCCCUUCUCCCAUUGCUGUAAAGUUGUUUAAGAGACUGGGCUUCAUAUUUCAGUAUAUAACUUGCCACCAAAUCCAGCCACAUUUUUGACACUGUUUUGGACUGAAUUGGAGACAAGCUGGGAGAUUUCUGCUUACACUGAGAUAUAAUCAUGUACUUAAUGGCCUUAUUUUUAAGCACCAAACCUCAUGAAAAGGACCUCCUGAUCUGCAACAUUUUACUGGGCCAUUCUGUUUAGAAUACAUUUCCAGUUUCCCUGGUAAGACACUAUUUUCCUUCUUAACAUAAAACCAGCUUCAGUCUUUUAUUCCUAAAAUUUAGAAAUGAACAGAGAAGUAUCGACCACACUCCUACUCAAUCUUUUUGACCAGGAUUCCCCAUCUUUCAUUUCUGCUAGAGCAGGCUAGGAUGCCAUGCCUCCUCUGUCACUUAACAGAACUACUACACAUACACACUAAGUCCAGGACUUCCUAGGGAAAAGGCACAAGUGUUGCUGUGCUUUCUUUCAGAAAGCCUGUCAGUUACUGCUCUAAGUUCUCUAACCUUCUAUUGUAUGUUCAAUACAGUAAUCUCUUCCCCUUUAAGUUUGCCCAUAAGAUACAAUUUAGUGAAUCUGUUUCUUCCCAUCUGCUGCAACUGGCUGUCCAAGCUCUCCAUUACUCUCUUCAAAUCAGUUUUCUCUAACAUUUGUGUAAGUCGAAUCUCAUUCACUCAAGGAGAGAUUGACGCUACUAGGUUGCAAUCUCAUCCAGAACCUAACAUUUCUCUCAUGAAGAUGGCCUUAAUGCCAUCAUUUUAAGGACUAAACCUAAC